rnacentral:rRNA from 1 species
UACGUAGGGUGCAAGCGUUAAUCGGAAUUACUGGGCGUAAAGCGUGCGCAGGCGGUGAUGUAAGACAGGUGUGAAAUCCCCGGGCUUAACCUGGGAACUGCAUUUGUGACUGCAUCGCUGGAGUGCGGCAGAGGGGGAUGGAAUUCCGCGUGUAGCAGUGAAAUGCGUAGAUAUGCGGAGGAACACCGAUGGCGAAGGCAGCCCCCUGGGCUAGCACUGACGCUCAGGCACGAAAGCGUGGGGAGCAAACAGG